rnacentral:lncRNA from 1 species
UUGAAGCGAAAAGUAGCACAAGGAAAUUCAUUGUUAAGGUUUGGGGUCUUAGUUCCCAAAGCUAAUUUGGUAAGGCUUAUCGAACUCAGUUUUCAUUUAUGUAAUUUAUUUAUUUUUAUUUUUUGUGUUUGUUGUUUGCUUUUGUCUUAGUUUAAAAAAAAAUUUAGUUUAGUUUAAUUAUUUUUUUACUUUUUACUUUUUAUUUAUUGUUUUAUUGAGGAAUAUACCUUUUUGGACGAUGAGCAAAGCCUAGACGACACAGACAUGGUGUCUAGAAAACAACAUGAAUCGGAGAUCCUAAGAUUGAGAUGAAACGGCGCUUAAAACCUAGAUUCUCUGCAUAUAUGACAUUUUAGGCAAAUGGUAAAGAUUAAAUACCCGCUCUGGCAAGAGAGAUGUGAGGAGGAUGGUAACAUGUUAUAACUUGCUGCACUGACAUCGAG